GACGAACGCUGGCGGCGUGCUUAACACAUGCAAGUCGAACGGAAAGGCCCUGCUUGCAGGGUGCUCGAGUGGCGAACGGGUGAGUAACACGUGGGUGAUCUGCCCCUUACUUUGGGAUAAGCCUGGGAAGCUGGGUCUAAUACUGGAUAGGACCAUGCUGUAGGUGGUGUGGUGGAAAGAUUAGUUUCGGUAAGGGAUGAGCUCGCGGCCUAUCAGCUUGUUGGUGGGGUAAUGGCCUACCAAGGCGUCGACGGGUAGCCGGCCUGAGAGGGUGGACGGCCACAUUGGGACUGAGAUACGGCCCAGACUCCUACGGGAGGCAGCAGUGGGGAAUAUUGCACAAUGGGCGCAAGCCUGAUGCAGCGACGCCGCGUGGGGGAUGACGGCCUUCGGGUUGUAAACUCCUUUCAGCCAUGACGAAGCCCUUGUGGUGACGGUAGUGGUAGAAGAAGCACCGGCUAACUACGUG
rnacentral:rRNA from 1 species